GAUGAACGCUAGCGGCAGGCCUAAUACAUGCAAGGCGAAGGGGCAGCAAUGUCACUGUCGUACGGGUGCGUAACGCGUAUGCAACCUACCUAUCACAGGGGGAUAGCCUUUGGAAACAGGGAUUAAUACCGCAUAAAGCAGGGACACCGCAUGGUGAUAUUGCUAAAGAUUUAUCGGUGAUAGAUGGGCAUGCGUCUGAUUAGUUAGUUGGCAGGGUAACGGCCUACCAAGACGAUGAUCAGUAGGGGGCGUCAGAGCGUAGUCCCCCACACUGGCACUGAGAUACGGGCCAGACUCCUACGGGAGGCAGCAGUAGGGAAUAUUGGGCAAUGGAUGCAAGUCUGACCCAGCCAUGCCGCGUGCAGGAAGAAGGUCCUCUGGAUUGUAAACUGCUUUUAUCGGGGAAGAAUAGUUUUCUUGCGAGGGAAUGUGACGGUACCCGAUGAAUAAGCCACGGCUAACUACGUGCCAGCAGCCGCCGUAACAC
rnacentral:rRNA from 1 species